AAGUCGUAACAAGGUUUCCGUAGGUGAACCUGCGGAAGGAUCAUUACCAAAUCCAAAAAAACUUUCUAUCAACACCCCAAUGUGAACUGAGAAUGGUUUCGUCCCUCCGAAUUCUUCUCUUCUUCGGAAGAAAGGGAGGAGGAGGGAUGUUCAAACACAUUUUUUUUUUCAACCCCUUUUCAACCAUUAAAAACCCAUUUUUUUAAUGCUGAAAGCAAAACAAAAAAUACGAAACAUGAGACAACUUUUAACGGUGGAUCUCUUGGCUCGU
rnacentral:misc_RNA from 1 species